UACGUAGGGUGCAAGCGUUAAUCGGAAUUACUGGGCGUAAAGCGUGCGCAGGCGGUUUUGUAAGACUGUCGUGAAAUCCCCGGGCUCAACCUGGGAAUGGCGAUGGUGACUGCAAGGCUAGAGUUUGGCAGAGGGGGGUAGAAUUCCACGUGUAGCAGUGAAAUGCGUAGAUGUGUGGAGGAACACCGAUGGCGAAGGCAGCCCCCUGGGUCAAAACUGACGCUCAUGCACGAAAGCGUGGGGAGCAAACAGG
rnacentral:rRNA from 1 species